AUGGCGCCCAACUAAGGAAAUACUGAGCUGAGUAUCCUUUUUGCUGGUUUUGGCAUUUUUGGUCAUCUUUGGUGUUGGUCUGAUUAUUUUGUCUAGCUCUAAGUGAAUUGUAACUGCAACUUUUGUGUGCUGUGGUUGCUUUGUGGGAAUACCUUACUAUUUCUCUUUCAAGGUGAUUGCAUACAAUUAAAAACUCAAAAUCGAACCUACCACAUCGCACAGAAGGAAAUCUUUGAUUUUGCACUGCCAACCUCUGUCUAUCCCUGUGUUUUAAUUGUUGUGUACUUUUGAUAGUAGCAUUUGUUUUCUUGUUAUUUUCCUUCUGCCGUUUGUUGUGUUUUAGUUAUUAAGACUUCAGGUACUUGCAACACUUACUCAAAAAAUAACUAUUCAAUUAAACUAAUUACAAUUAAAACAUAAAGUAAUAGAGAUGUCUCGUCCAAUCAAAUAUUUAUCACUUCAGAAAGAUGAACUCCUUUAUGAAGAGGUACAUGGCAUGUCAAGGAUAUUAAACUUACAAACUAUUCUAAAUAAUUAUAUCUAAACUUUUACCUAACUAAAAUAAAACUUUCUAUAUUUACAAAACUUCCUUGCUGGGAUGGAAGUGAGAGAAAAACAUAGAAUCCCCCAGCUGCUUACUAAUUCUCGAGCAGACUGUAAGAGUCAGUCAAGAGAUUGAUGUGUAAUACCAUCUAACGCCUUAGGCCUGCCAAAAACUUAAAUCUUGAGCAUGGCAUGCGUCUUCUAAUAUCUUCUAAUAUUCUCUAAAAAUACCUUAAAUACUACUUUAUAAAAAAAAAAAACAAAAACUACACUUACUAAAACUACCAAAACUUAUACUAAAAAAUCCAAAACUAGCCUAAAACAAUGUCUUACUUACUAAAACUACCUACCGUCUUAAAUAUAUUUACUUAUAUAUAGUAUUUCUAAUUUUUCUUUUUUACAAAAAAAAAUAUUGAAUCUCCAGGCCCUACCCCUAGGACAUUCUAAUUAUUUUAUCUUCGGCCCUACCCCGAAGAUAAGAAAAUUAUACUAUAAAAAGAAAAAAACGGUUACCUUAAAUCUCCUAUUGAUUACGUGUGAGUACUAAGCUGCGGUUAAAAGUCUAGUACUCUUUUUGGAAAGGACACAGUCACUUAAAACUAAAUAAGAUAACUGUUUGUGUGUGAAAGGGAUGAAAGAAAGUAGGGGGGUGAAUGGAAGGGUUGAAAUGAAUGUGUACCACGUAAUUUUUAGAAUGGUCAAUAGUAAGAAGGACAGACUAGGUUACAUUUUAGUCAGCGGAUUUUCUUAGCGAAAAUCCUACCCAAAAAAGGGGGGUAUGUAACGCCUGCCGCGUUUUACUACUGAGUGUAAUUGCUCUUGUUUUUCUGUUAGGAACUAUCAAAAAGUUAUCAUUGAAAACACUUAAAAACUACUGCUUAAAACUAAAAUAUUAUUACAUAAAUAAACAUAUACAAAUUAAUUUAACAAAACAUAGCUAUUUACAAAAUAAUUCCGUUAAUAUUGUACGACUUUAAUAAUUAUCACAUUGCGUAGGUAGCCGUACCUACAUUCCACAGCCGAGCCGUUACUCUUCCGAUCGGAUGUUCGACACAAUCCUUCUGCCUUUGUAGCGAGAACACCUCGAUUACUCGUAUAUUUUUUUAAAUACGUUUUUUUUACUAAUUUUGUCUACGAUAUAAUAAUUUAUAGUGUUGUGUUAUCCCCAUUGAUUGGGGUUCACCCUUCGAGUUCUACAAUCGCAGGACCUACUACCGGUCCUGUACUUACCUCUACCGUUUCACCCUUCGAGUUCUACAAUCGCAGGACCUACUACCGGUCCUGUACUUACCUCUACCGCUUCACCCUUCGAGUUCAGCAACCGCUGGACCCA